GAUGAACGCUGGCGGCGUGCCUAAUACAUGCAAGUCGAGCGAACAGACGAGGAGCUUGCUCCUCUGACGUUAGCGGCGGACGGGUGAGUAACACGUGGAUAACCUACCUAUAAGACUGGGAUAACUUCGGGAAACCGGAGCUAAUACCGGAUAAUAUAUUGAACCGCAUGGUUCAAUAGUGAAAGACGGUUUUGCUGUCACUUAUAGAUGGAUCCGCGCCGCAUUAGCUAGUUGGUAAGGUAACGGCUUACCAAGGCGACGAUGCGUAGCCGACCUGAGAGGGUGAUCGGCCACACUGGAACUGAGACACGGUCCAGACUCCUACGGGAGGCAGCAGUAGGGAAUCUUCCGCAAUGGGCGAGAGCCUGACGGAGCAACGCCGCGUGAGUGAUGAAGGUCUUCGGAUCGUAAAACUCUGUUAUUAGGGAAGAACAAAUGUGUAAUUAACUAUGCACGUCUUGACGGUACCUAAUCAGAAAGCCACGGCUAACUACGUG
rnacentral:rRNA from 1 species